GAUGAAGAACGUAGUGAAAUGCGAUAAUUAAUGUGAAUUGCAGAAUUCAGUGAAUCAUCGAGUCUUUGAACGCACAUUGCGCCCCCUGGUAUUCCGGGGGGCAUGCCUGUCCGAGCGUCAUUGCUGCCCUCAAGCACGGCUUGUGUGUUGGGCUUCCGUCCCUGGCAACGGGGACGGGCCCAAAAGGCAGUGGCGGCACCAUGUCUGGUCCUCAAGCGUAUGGGGCUUUGUCACCCGCUCCCGUAGGUCCAGCUGGCAGCUAGCCUCGCAACCAAUCUUUUUAACCAGGUUGACCUCGGAUCAGGUAGGGAUACCCGCUGAACUUAAGCAUAUCAAUAAGCGGAGGA
rnacentral:misc_RNA from 1 species